UGUGUGUGUGUGUGUGUGUGAGAGAGAGAGAGAGAGAGAGAGAGAGAGAGAUACAUACAUAAAGAAUUCAUGUCUGCCCCUUUGGAGUUGGCAUUGCCCCUUUGGAGUUGGCAUUGCCCCUUCAGGGGUGCAUGGUUAACACCCACACUUGUGUCACCUGCCACAUCCCAGGCUCUCUGCUCAUAUCUGGUCUAUCCUAGGGUGGAACCUCGUGGUUCUCCCUUCCUACCUCACGUUCAGCAAUAUGGUAGCCCAGCCUAGGCAACCAGCAAGUCUCUAGGAGAUGGAUGUCUUAGGGCAUAGGAAACUAGAUCACUUUGGCAUACAUCCUGCAAACAAUCACAAAAGACUGCUGGCCACCAGGGAAAGAGAACCGGCCUGUGGCAUCUUGGAGGACAGAAGGCAAAGGCCAUGGGGCCCCGAUAAGAGGAGGCACUUCCAAAGUAUUACGAGGGACUCAUGAAUGGGCAAGCCUGAGGAGACUUCACUGUCUCUGUCCCUUUCCGGGGCACACUGACUCUGUCUCCUCCAGGACUCCAGGCAUUCGAGGGAGGGGACCCAGCAACAAUUUGCAAGAAAUCUGGAACAAGGCUGACUGUGCCCUGGCGUCCUAGACCCCAAACCUUGUAUCGAUGCCUUGGUGGCUGGAAAUGGGACCGUUGUAUUCCCAGCAGAAGUGUGCUUUGUCCCAUUCUCGGCAGCUCAGAGCACACCUGACAUUCUAGGAUCUCCGUGUCAGAGAGAUGUGCAGUUCCCAGUACAUCCGGGCCCUCUAGAUAUCUCUGUCCCCUUACAACUUGAGGCCGUCCUUAGAUAAAACCUAACCGCAUCUCCCCCGUUUAUGGAUGAAUGGCAAGCAUCUUCAUAGUACUACUUUACAGCGGGCGAAGGUCUCAGAUCUAAGGGACCCCCCCCCACCACCACCACCAAGGGCACUCUCUGUUUUCCCAACAUCCACCACUGUCUAGCUUUAAGAUAAAGAUAUUAAGGAAGAAACUUUUGAUCUUUAAAACUAUCCCUGAUGACUAAGUAUGGUGGCACAGGCCUCUCCUAGGGAGACAGAGGCAGGUGGCUCUCUGUAAAUUCAAGGCUAGCCUGGUAUACAUAGUGAGUUCUGGGUCAGCGAGGUUAUGCGGUGAGACUCUCAAAAAAAAAGUUUUUUAUAUGGAAUAUCUUGGUUUUUUUCCCAAUAAUAAUUUUGUUGAUUCAGAAUAAUGUCUCUUUCAUGGACCCAAGGCACAAUAGAAAGACAGAAAUUCUGGGGGCAUGAAGGGGUUAGGGGAAAUCUCACCCAAGGGUCUGAAGCCUCUCACCAGCAGAGAUAUAAGAAUUCCACCACAGUCAACGUUUACUAUCGAGGCUGCUGGCCUAGAGUCAAUAUUCCGUUCACGUAUAGUUAAACCCUGAGUGUGUUUGACCCUGGGUACGGUCUUAUGCUUUCCCCAGACCUUGCCCCGAGACUCUCAAGCAAAAGUUAACCCUAUUAACAGCAGGAUAUCCCGCCCUCCUCCAUAGGUUAGCCUUUCACCUUAUCAACUGUAGUCCUGUCAUUAUCUUUUAGGGACCACCCAGUGAUAAGACUGUCAACCCAAGCCCCACCCAAAAUCCUGUGUGUGACUAUAUCAUAAGUCAUAGGGAGCGCUAUGCCUCUCCUUGAGGAGAUGCCCACAGUUGGGUAUGUCUAACAUCCUUCCGAGCGCCUCUGUUUCUCCCAGCCCGCAUGCUAAAGCCUGUAUGAAAAUAUCUUGAGUAAAAUCUGAAACCUCCAACUCUGCUUUAUAAACUGGCCUGUCCCGAAAUGCUUUGCGUCACUGAUGCCGCGAACCCUGGCUUAGCCUGAGUCGUGAUCCCUGAAGCUGGGGAGCUCCUCGGGCUAUGGAGGGUGACGGGCACUGUGCCUCCUUCAUCUGUGCCCCCCCCCCCAAAUACUGACAGAUUUAUCUCCUUUCUCAUGUGCAGAGGAAGUGCGUCUAGCCACAGGCUUCCACAAGCUCGCCUCUGCUUUCCGCAAGGCAGAGUGUGGAUUGGGGCAAUUCCAGGAAGGGCUGGAUCACAGCUGUGACGCUUCAGUAUAUUUAAAAUGUCAUAGUCUUGAUUCUCAGCUCUUUAAAAAAAAAGAAUAUUUUAGGUGAUGUUCCCGCAGAAUUUGAGAGAAAUGCUUACCCAAGCUGUGGUACUUGUACACUCUGAAAGGCAGUAAAGAAUAUCCAAAAUCUCCUACCUAUGCUGGGCUCCAUGGAAGUCUCUCCUCAUUAACUGUGUGGAUGGAGACUCACAGUCUCUGAUCCUCAGACCCCUCCUCUGUGGGCUUGGAUGACCCCUGCCCCGGAAGUGAAUGAGCUGUCAUGUCAUUCCAUGCCCCACACUACCAAACGCUUGGUUCCCAGCAGAUGUGAGGAACUGCUAACAUAUCGUUUCCCUUCUCUCUGGCUCACCUGGACACUUGAGUUCUGCAUCUUGCUCUUGACCAUCUCAACAAACAAGCGUCUCUUUAACACAGAAAAGACAGCGACGACGACAUUUAGUUUAGACUUGUACUGCCUUCUGGGCCCAAGACGGAUGGGCUCUUCUCUAUCAAACCCCUUUACCCAAUGCGUACGUAGACUGGGAUAUAAGUAAGAUACAUGAAGGAAGACUGGGAUAUAAGUAAGAUACAUGAAGGAAAGGAAAGCUACUCUGGUUAACGAGGGCUGGAGGUGCCGAGUCACGGGACCCAAGGACUCUGAGAAACCCUAGCUCGCUGCUCCCGAAUCCAUUUGAACGAAGGUCAAGUGGUGGAUAGCUGAGCCCUAGGAAGGGCAGAGUACGAGGACAACAAGAUCUACUCUCAGCCUUCUGUUCCUGAGGCUCCCCGUCCAUCCCCACCUGACAUAUCUGAUGACUUCUUAAAAACGUCGUUUAUUACAUUUGUUUAGUUAUUUAGUGUCUGUGGGAGCCGUGAACUCAUGUGGAGGACAGAGGACAACUUGAGAGAGCCCAUUCUCUUCUCCCUUCCACUUUGUGAGUCCUGGGAAUCGAACUUAUGCCGUUAACGCUUGAUAGCAAGCAGAUUUACCCAAGGAGCCAACCGGCCCAACGUCUACCAGUUUCUACUCUUUGGCCACGGUGGGACAGAGCCGAAGAAGAGCUAGACAGCACUGGGCCCAAGGCAAUCUUUGAAAACAGUGAGUUAGAAUAAGGAUGUCAGUGAUAGCCAAAGGCAUCAUGGGAUAUCACGGGGUGUCUCUCUUGCUUCACACCCGUGCUCCUGUUGAACUAAACCCUGUGGGCCAUGCCGUUUUUUUUUAUUCGCACCCCAAAGACAAGAGAUCUAAAUCAAUGGCAUGGGAGGGGUAGGGGGUUUCCAGCCUAGCUGAGACCACUCCUGAAAGCAGCGACCAAACCUCCAGGCUGGGAUUUGACAGGCUGGAGCCUGCGAGGGAGUGAAGUUUGCUCCCCUGGCCAAGGAAGCCACUGACAGCAGCUGUUCUCACACUUCCAGCCCCGCAGCAGCCCAGGGAAAGGGCUCCCAGCCUUCUCAGAGGGCAGGUCCCGAGUGUUUAAAAGCUUUCUAUUGAAAAUUCCCAUCUGAGCCAUUCACGGAAAGUAUCUGCUCUAUCUUGGCGGCAGCCCCAGCUGCAUUCACCAGCGAGAAAAGAAUGCUGGACAAAAGAGCUGCCAGCUUCCCAGGAGCA